UUUCCGUAGGUGAACCUGCGGAAGGAUCAUUACAGAGUUCAUGCCCUCACGGGUAGAUCUCCCACCCUUGAAUAUUUAUACCUUAGUUGCUUUGGCAGGCCGUGGAAACACCAUGGGCUCCGGCUUAUGCGUGCCUGCCAGAGGAAACAAACUCUGCUUUUAGUGAUGUCUGAGCACUAUAUAAUAGUUAAAACUUUCAACAACGGAUCUCUUGGUUCUG
rnacentral:misc_RNA from 1 species